rnacentral:pre_miRNA from 1 species
CACUUCAUGGAGUGCCAUCCAUGUAUUAAAAGUUUGAAUGGCACUUCUUGAAGUGGG